rnacentral:rRNA from 1 species
GACGAACCGUGCGAACGUUGUUCGGAAUCACUGGGCUUAAAGGGCGCGUAGGCGGCUUCGCAAGUCAGGGGUGAAAUCUUUCGGCCCAACCGGAAAAGUGCCUCUGAUACUGCGGAGCUCGAGGGAGGUAGGGGCAGACGGAACUUCCGGUGGAGCGGUGAAAUGCGUUGAUAUCGGAAGGAACGCCGGUGGCGAAAGCGGUCUGCUGGCCCUCCACUGACGCUGAGGCGCGAAAGCCAGGGGAGCAAACGGG